UGAGAGUAAAUUCGACACGUAGCGCGCGACGUAACAAACGGUGGCGAUAUCUGGUGAACAAAGAUAAAAGCAGUACGCAUCGAUACACGUCCGGAUCAUCAUCGUGUGUCAUCGGAAAGUGGACAGUAAUGCAUAACGAGCAGAACGCGCGGUCAAUUCCGUUAUCGAAACGGAUGGCUUUAUUAAACCCAUUAUUCACUGGUCGUAAUUUAUCACGAUAACAUUGCGUUUUAAGGAUGAUUAUACGAUGGUCAAGAAGGACGAUGUGUAUCUGCCGAUUACGCGUGCCCUCUGUUUGAUCACGUGAUCGAUUGCUCGAGCGACGACAGCUUGUCGACCUUAUUUUCCAUACAAACAGUGAACACAUUCGACACUCGAAAUGCAUACCAUCGCCAUCGAUACGUGGAGGAUAUAUAUAUAUAUACACCGUGGAAAAUUCCGUUAUAGGAUAUCACGGUUUACCAUCGACGAUUCGUCUUAGUCACGAGGAAUCGAAAAAACAUCGACAGCUCGCUCCUCUAUUUUCUGCAUUCGUUACGUGGCGAAACAUAACCUUUCAACCUAGAUGCUCGCACACUUUGACGGAUUACAGGCCCGGUUUACACCGCUAAGCAUCCAGCUGUUGUUAUUCUACCCACGUAUGUAUCGAAGACACACCGUGGGAUGAAACUUGGCGUGCAUCGUGUGCAAAGGCAGCUUAAUAUCGACGCGGCCGGAUCUAAGAGCGAAGUUUCCUCUCUUCUCCGAGGGAUUUUCUCAGCUUUGGAAUAUAUAGUGGAGAGCUGUGUGUAAACGAUCGCCGUGCCUCCGCGCGCCAUAUUAAUAGGGCCAUCUUCGUGGCCAGCUUAAUAUUGGAUAGCGAAGCGCUUGGACCGUCCUUGGAAGCAGAAAACGAUUUAUGGCCUCCACCGUUGGAGGAUUUGUAAAUAGAAUCCUGCGCGGCCCGAGGACAGGCACGUGCUCGGCAUAAGUCCGCCAAGAAUAUGAGAAGGAUUUCUAUUCAAUUGAAUUUGUUGUUACAGCUUCUACCGAUGCGAAUUAAAUUGAGAAUGAACUGCAUUACCUACCAUGUAAUAAGAGACUGAUGAGAAGAAGAGAGAAGAGAAAGGUGAAAGCCGCAACUUUACAAAAGGGAGAUUCAUAUUCCGGUCGGAGAAGCAGCGGCAUUCGGAGCAGAAAAUAAAAUCUACGGGGGUCGGUCGGUCCACGGAAACGGACGUUGCAUUCACGGGAACGUUUCUCGUUUUCGUCUCAUAACUUCCUCCUUCCUGGACUCCUAACCGACUCUUUCCCCCGGCCGUGUCACAUCGCUGACCCUUCCUGCACUUAGCCGGGCUCUAAACCAACCGGCAAACUUCGUGACGUGCAUUUCAAAUGCCGACCCCCGAAAUUUUCUUUCGGUUACGCGCAAUCGGAUCUUCCUCUUACAAAUUCGUCCUUAAAUUCUCUUUCAUUUUAAAGGACGCGCAGAUUUCAUAUAUCCUCGAGUAUCAAAGCAACUUUACUCUGAAACACACCGCAAAUUUAUAAAUCCGUAAAAUCAGUUGCUUGUGCCGCGAUUUCGAAGACACUCUGUACAUAUAUAUACACGUAUAUAUUUACGUGGAAUGAAGAGGUGAUUUGCAAAGCGACUAUCAGGGAAACACAGCGUCUAACUAUCGGCUAAUCAGCCACCAAGUUGCUCGAUGUAAGACGGAACGCCUCUUAUCCGAUGAUCCGUCUUUCCUCGAGACAUAACAGGGGGCUAACUAUGCCCGACUAAGCUUCCGUCACGUCGGAUAGUGUGGUAAAUCUUCCGGAUUUAUGUGCGCCAUUGUCCACGGCCGCGCCGCUACUCGCCUUUUUGUCGCGAUAUAAACCCUCGAAGCUUGAUCUUCUUGAUCUUCUAACACGAUAAACGAGGAUUUCGAAUUUGAAAGAAGGGAGAGUAAUUAAAAUUAUAAUUUUAGAGAAGAGAAAAAUAAAGCGAUAAUUAUCUUCGUCCGUGACAAAUAUAUGGGACAAUGGGAAAUAUGACAAAAUUCUAUUUUAUAUAUCUCAAUAUGGGUAUUGUUGUGAAAACAAUUAAUCCUAUUAUCUGCUGAUGAAUUUAUCAAUAUACAUACUCGAUAAUUGCAAAUACGAUAUUUGCAUUCAAGCUGACAUUUGAUACUUUGCGACAAAGGCAAUUUAAUAAUAAUUUAUAUUCGUCUCUCACCAGCGAAAUACAUAUAUUUCUAUCGUGUGUCAAUAAUAAUAAUUUCUCGUCGAUAAAUCUUGACGAGAUUAUUACGAAAUAUCAGUUAAUAAAUUUUUCUUUUUUUUUUU
rnacentral:lncRNA from 11 species